ACGGGUGAGUACACGUGGGUGACCUGCCUCAGAGUGGGGGAUAACGUCCCGAAAGGGACGCUAAUACCGCAUAACAUCCUGCCUUUGGAAAGGCGGAGAUCAAAGCCGGGGAUCGCAAGACCUGGCGCUUGGAGAGGGGCCCGCGUCUGAUUAGCUAGUUGGUAGGGUAAUGGCCUACCAAGGCGACGAUCAGUAUCCGGCCUGAGAGGGCGGACGGACACACUGGGACUGAGACACGGCCCAGACUCCUACGGGAGGCAGCAGUGGGGAAUUGUUCGCAAUGGGCGCAAGCCUGACGACGCAACGCCGCGUGGAGGAUGAAGAUCUUCGGGUCGUAAACUCCUGUCGAGCGGGAAGAACACUUUCCGGGCGAAUAUCCCGGAAGGCUGACGGUACCGCUAAAGGAAGCCCCGGCUAACUCCGUGCCAGCAGCCGCGGUAAUACGGGGGGGGCAAGCGUUGUUCGGAAUUACUGGGCGUAAAUGGCUC
rnacentral:rRNA from 1 species